AAAUCUGUGGUGGAAAAGAAGUGUUCAGAUAUGUGUCACAGAUUUAAAUAACAUAAAAACUCAGGAAAGCUGGGGAUCUGUGUGGGCUGCUGGAAGUACAAGUCGGCCUUUGACACAAGGCUGAAGCCUAAUGAGACGAUAUUUCUCUAAGGCUCUGGGCAUUUCUCUUCCCUAAGUCAGUUGACUUGGGCAGGGGGUUGGUGAGAGAAGGCUUCACGGAGCAGAGUCUUACAGGAGGAAAAGGAGUUUCGAAGGCCGACAGAGGACGUGAGGAGAGGAGGCUACAGCGUAGCUUUGGUCCUCUGAGCACUGGGGAGCCCAUGAUCUGACCUGUGCAUUUGGAGGCAUUCCCAGCAACAACACGAAAAGACUACAGUGGCCCAGGUGGUCAACACUGAACGUUUCUGACCAGUACCAAGAAAGGGUGGAGAGAAGAGGUGGAAGGUAGAGUCAUCUCAGAGGUGGAAUCUACAGGGCUUGGAGCCUGAAUUUGCCAACUCUUUGGAGCUACGUGUGUGCACACGUGUGCACACACACACACAUGCACACACACACACAGCAGGAGAAAGCCAGAUUCACCCCACCCCAGACUUUCUGUGGCCUGUUGGGGAUGAGACUACUUACAGUUCCUUAGUUUUCCAUUCUGUAAGAUGGGAAAAAUAAAACCAGAAUCUCAUGGCUCCCAAUGGGAUAUAGUUAUAUAUUAUGUUAGCAUUGAGAACCCUGUGGAAAUGCAGACUGGUCCCCUUCCUCCUGCUAACAGAGAACAGUCUUUCUACCAGAAUACAAUACCCACCACUUGCAUUUUCUGGGUAUCAGAAAGCAAUGGUUUGGGUUUGAGCUAUUCACUCACUUAUGAUCUGAGAUUAUUCUAAAAAGACUUCGCAGCUUAGUCUAAUUGGGUAAUUGGGAUGUUUCCAGAUGAAAUUUGACUUGUAUUUUUAAAAAACGCUUUGAAGAACUGGUUGCCAUGGUGCUGUUCUGCUGACAAGAUCCUACACUGGCUCCCACUAAGCAGCAAUAAUGGGCUUCUGUUUAUUCUGAGUUUCAGGUUACCCUACCUGAACAUCCUCUGGAAGGAAGCAAGGUGUGAACCUGGGGGAAUAAGAGCAGUCCUUCCCUCAGUCUCCUUGAUGGGGGAUGUGUUUCAGCUGAUGGGGAGGUUUGUCACUGUGGGGGCGGGGGACCCGUGCCUAGGCAGGAGGGACUUCCCAGACCGCCUCGCCCCUGGGCAGCUGGGAGUUGAGGAAGAAUCCCCAGCACAUCAUCUGCCACAAUAUAAAUUGGGUGGCUCUCUCAGGAUGUGAAUACUAAUCCUCUCAUAUUUUGGGCAAAUAGGUGUUUGGCAGAGACAAUUAUCUUUAUUUUAAGAAAUAACACGGUUUUAAAAAUUAAUAUUUAUGUUUUCAUAGUAUUACUGUUUUAAAUUGGAAAAAGCCUUUGUUCUAACUCAAUUUUUCAACCUACUGGACAAUAAUUCCUCCCCAUCGUCCUUAAACUUCUUGUAUCCGAGUGUUUAUUAUAAGAAUGUGAAACAUCUUCGCCAGAUGCAGUAUUUUUGGCUUCAUUAAAAGUUUUUCUAGUUCCUCUUCA